rnacentral:rRNA from 1 species
AUUGAACGCUGGCGGCAGGCUUAACACAUGCAAGUCGAGCGGAGAUGAGGUGCUUGCACCUUAUCUUAGCGGCGGACGGGUGAGUAAUGCUUAGGAAUCUGCCUAUUAGUGGGGGACAACAUUCCGAAAGGAAUGCUAAUACCGCAUACGUCCUACGGGAGAAAGCAGGGGAUCUUCGGACCUUGCGCUAAUAGAUGAGCCUAAGUCGGAUUAGCUAGUUGGUGGGGUAAAGGCCUACCAAGGCGACGAUCUGUAGCGGGUCUGAGGGGAUGAUCCGCCACACUGGGACUGAGACACGGCCCAGACUCCUACGGGAGGCAGCAGUGGGGAAUAUUGGACAAUGGGGGGAACCCUGAUCCAGCCAUGCCGCGUGUGUGAAGAAGGCCUUAUGGUUGUAAAGUACUUUAAGCGAGGAGGAGGCUACUGAGACUAAUACUCUUGGAUAGUGGACGUUACUCGCAGAAUAAGCACCGGCUAACUCUGUGCCAGCCGCCGCAGUAACAC